GAUUCUCUUCGGAGAAAGCGGCGGACGGGUGAGUAACGCGUGGGUAACCUGCCUCAUACACAUGGAUAACAUACCGAAAGGUAUGCUAAUACAGGAUAACAUAAGAGAUUCGCAUGUUUCUCUUAUCAAAGCUCCGGCGGUAUGAGAUGGACCCGCGUCUGAUUAGCUAGUUGGUAAGGUAAUGGCUUACCAAGGCGACGAUCAGUAGCCGACCUGAGAGGGUGAUCGGCCACAUUGGAACUGAGACACGGUCCAAACUCCUACGGGAGGCAGCAGUGGGGAAUAUUGCACAAUGGGCGAAAGCCUGAUGCAGCAACGCCGCGUGAGUGAUGAAGGCCUUCGGGUCGUAAAACUCUGUCCUCAAGGAAGAUAAUGACGGUACUUGAGGAGGAAGCCCCGGCUAACUACGUGCCAGCAGCCGCGGUAAUACGUAGGGGGCUAGCGUUAUCCGGAUUUACUGGGCGUAAAGGGUGCGUAGGUGGUUUCUUAAGUCAGGAGUGAAAGGCUACGGCUUAACCGUAGUAAGCUCUUGAAACUGGGAAACUUGAGUGCAGGAGAGGAAAGUGGAAUUCCUAGUGUAGCGGUGAAAUGCGUAGAUAUUAGGAGGAACACCAGUAGCGAAGGCGGCUUUCUGGACUGUAACUGACACUGAGGCACGAAAGCGUGGGGAGCAAACAGGAUUAGAUACCCUGGUAGUCCACGCCGUAAACGAUGAGUACUAGGUGUCGGGGGUUACCCCCCUCGGUGCCGCAGCUAACGCAUUAAGUACUCCGCCUGGGGAGUACGCUCGCAAGAGUGAAACUCAAAGGA
rnacentral:rRNA from 1 species